rnacentral:rRNA from 1 species
GAUGAACGCUGACAGAAUGCUUAACACAUGCAAGUCAACUUGAACUUCGGUUUGGGUGGCGGACGGGUGAGUAACGCGUAAAGAACUUGCCUCACAGAUAGGGACAACAUUUGGAAACGAAUGCUAAUACCUGAUAUUAUGAUUUUAGGGCAUCCUAGGAUUAUGAAAGCUAUAUGCGCUGUGAGAGAGCUUUGCGUCCCAUUAGCUAGUUGGAGAGGUAACGGCUCACCAAGGCGAUGAUGGGUAGCCGGCCUGAGAGGGUGAUCGGCCACAAGGGGACUGAGACACGGCCCUUACUCCUACGGGAGGCAGCAGUGGGGAAUAUUGGACAAUGGACCAAGAGUCUGAUCCAGCAAUUCUGUGUGCACGAUGAAGUUUUUCGGAAUGUAAAGUGCUUUCAGUUGGGAAGAAAAAAAUGACGGUACCAACAGAAGAAGAGACGGCUAAAUACGUG